rnacentral:tRNA from 1 species
AGACUGGUAAGUUAAUUUAAACUGUGGGGUUCAUGUCUCCUUUUUACACUAUGUGUGUCUAGUUGA